AACUAAAAAUCGUAACAAGGUCUCCGUAGGUGAACCUGCGGAGGGAUCAUUACACAAAUAUGAAGGCGGGCUGGAACCUCUCGGGGUUACAGCCUUGCUGAAUUAUUCACCCUUGUCUUUUGCGUACUUCUUGUUUCCUUGGUGGGUUCGCCCACCACUAGGACAAACAUAAACCUUUUGUAAUUGCAAUCAGCGUCAGUAACAAAUUAAUAAUUACAACUUUCAACAACGGAUCUCUUGGUUCUGGCAUCGAUGAAGAACGCAGCGAAAUGCGAUAAGUAGUGUGAAUUGCAGAAUUCAGUGAAUCAUCGAAUCUUUGAACGCACAUUGCGCCCUUUGGUAUUCCAAAGGGCAUGCCUGUUCGAGCGUCAUUUGUACCCUCAAGCUUUGCUUGGUGUUGGGCGUCUUGUCUCUAGCUUUGCUGGAGACUCGCCUUAAAGUAAUUGGCAGCCGGCCUACUGGUUUCGGAGCGCAGCACAAGUCGCACUCUCUAUCAGCAAAGGUCUAGCAUCCAUUAAGCCUUUUUUUCAACUUUUGACCUCGGAUCAGGUAGGGAUACCCGCUGAACUUAAGCAUAUCAAUAAGCGGAGGAAAAGAAACCAACAGGGAUUGCCCUAGUAACGGCGAGUGAAGCGGCAACAGCUCAAAUUUGAAAUCUGGCUCUUUUAGAGUCCGAGUUGUAAUUUGCAGAGGGCGCUUUGGCUUUGGCAGCGGUCCAAGUUCCUUGGAACAG
rnacentral:rRNA from 1 species